ACUGCUCAGUAACACGUGGAUAACCUGCCCUAAGGAAGGGGAUAACCUCGGGAAACUGAGGAUAAUACCCUAUAGGUUACAGACGCUGGAAUGCCCUGUAACCGAAAGUUCCGGCGCCUUAGGAUAGAUCUGCGGCCGAUUAGGUUGUUGUUGGGGUAACGGCCCAACAAGCCGAUAAUCGGUACGGGUUGUGGGAGCAAGAGCCCGGAGUUGGAUUCUGAGACAUGAAUCCAGGCCCUACGGGGCGCAGCAGGCGCGAAAACUUUACAAUGCGGGAAACCGUGAUAAGGGAACCCCGAGUGCCUGUAUAUGCAGGCUGUCCAGGUGUCUAAAAAACACCUGAAGAAAGGGCCGGGCAAGACCGGUGCCAGCCGCCGCGGUAAUACCGGCGGCUCGAGUGGUGGCCACUUUUAUUGGGCUUAAAGCGUUCGUAGCUGGGUUGUUAAGUCUCUUGGGAAAUCUGACGGCUCAACCGUCAGGCGUCCAAGGGAUACUGGCAAUCUUGGAACCGGGAGAGGUGAGGGGUACUUCGGGGGUAGGAGUGAAAUCCUGUAAUCCUCGAGGGACCACCUGUGGCGAAGGCGCCUCACCAGAACGGCUUCGACAGUGAGGGACGAAAGCUGGGGGAGCAAACCGGAUUAGAUACCCGGGUAGUCCCAGCCGUAAACGAUGCGCGUUAGGUGUAUCGGUGACCACGAGUCACCGAGGUGCCGAAGGGAAACCGUGAAACGUGCCGCCUGGGAAGUACGGUCGCAAGGCUGAAACUUAAAGGAAUUGGCGGGGGAGCAC
rnacentral:rRNA from 1 species